rnacentral:rRNA from 1 species
UCAGACGAUGCGUCAUGCAUAUCAAUAAGCGGAGGAAAAGAAACUAACAAGGAUUCCCUCAGUAACGGCGAGUGAAGCGGGAAGAGCUCAAAUUUGAAAUCUUGAAAGGUCACCUUUCACGAAUUGUAGUUUAAAGAAGUGUUUUCUGUUACGAUCGUAAUAUAAGUUCUUUGGAAUAGGACAUCACAGAGGGUGAGAAUUCCGUCUAUGAUUGCGAUUUGUAGCUUUGUGAUACACUUUCAAAGAGUCGGAUUGUUUGGGAAUGCAGUCCAAAAUGGGUAGGUAAAUUUCAUCUAAAGCUAAAUAUUGGCGAGAGACCGAUAGCGAACAAGUACCGUGAGGGAAAGAUGAAAAGAACUUUGAAAAGAGAGUUAAAUAGUACGUGAAAUUGUCAAAAGGGAAGCGUUUAACACCAGUGUUGUUUUCUGAAAAUCAACCUCUGUUAGCUUUAUGCAUGUUUGUUUAGACCUAAUCAGCUAUCUUGCAUGUUCUAUUGUUUGCAGUGGUGCACUUUUCAGUUUACAGGUCAACAUCAGUUUUUUUUACCGUAAAAAAGUUAAAGAAAGGUAGCUCAUGGCUCCGGUCGUGAGUGUUAUAGUCUUUUUCCUAUGCGGUAGGAGAGACUGAGGUCUGCAGUGUAGGCUAUUUGGCUAGAUACUCAGGUGCUAUGUGAUACCAUUUCAUAAACAACUUGUUGAUUAUGUUUUGUCUAUUGCAUACUCGCUUGUACUAUCAUACCUACGCUUAGGAUGUUGACUGAUAUGUAGUCGUA